rnacentral:rRNA from 1 species
UACGGGGGGAGCAAGCGUUGUUCGGAUUUACUGGGCGUAAAGGGCGCGUAGGCGGUCAGCACAAGUCAGUUGUGAAAUCUCCGAGCUUAACUCGGAAAGGUCAACUGAUACUGUGCGACUAGAGUGCGGAAGGGGCAACUGGAAUUCUUGGUGUAGCGGUGAAAUGCGUAGAUAUCAAGAGGAACACCUGCGGCGAAGGCGGGUUGCUGGGCCGACACUGACGCUCAUGCACGAAAGCGUGGGGAGCAAACAGG